rnacentral:rRNA from 1 species
CAGCAGCCGCGGUAACACGUAGGGUGCAAGCGCUAAUCGGAAUUACUGGGCGUAAAGCGUGCGCAGGCGGUUCUAUAAGACAGAUGUGAAAUCCCCGGGCUCAACCUGGGAACUGCAUUUGUGACUGUAGAGCUGGAGUGCGGCAGAGGGGGAUGGAAUUCCGCGUGUAGCAGUGAAAUGGGUAGAUAUGCGGAGGAACACCGGUGGCGAAGGCAGCCCCCUGGGCCAAUACUGACGCUCAUGCACGAAAGCGUGGGGAGCAAACAGGAUUAGAUACCCCCGUAGUCCCUGUCUCUUAUAC